rnacentral:rRNA from 1 species
UACGGAGGGUGCAAGCGUUAUCCGGAUUUACUGGGUUUAAAGGGUGUGUAGGCGGACUUUUAAGUCAGCGGUGAAAUCUCCGGGCUCAACCCGGAAACUGCCAUUGAUACUAUUAGUCUUGAAUGUUGUUGAGGUGGGCGGAACGGGUCAUGUAGCGGUGAAAUGCAUAGAGAUCAUGAGGAAGACCAGUGGCGAAGGCGGGUCUCUGGACAGUUCCUGACACUGAGGCACGAAGGCCAGGGGAGCAAACGGG